UACGGGGGGAGCAAGCGUUGUUCGGAUUUACUGGGCGUAAAGGGCGCGUAGGCGGCCACCGCAAGUCGACUGUGAAAUCUCCGGGCUUAACCCGGAAAGGUCAGCCGAUACUGCGGGGCUAGAGUGCAGAAGGGGCAACUGGGAAUUCUCGGGUCGUAGCGGUGAAAUGCGUAGAUAUCGAGAGGAACACCUGCGGCGAAGGCGGGUUGCUGGGCUGACACUGACGUGAGGCGCGAAAGCUAGGGGAGCGAACGGG
rnacentral:rRNA from 1 species